UACAGAGGUCCCAAGCGUUGUUCGGAUUCACUGGGCGUAAAGGGUGCGUAGGCGGUUGGGUAAGUCUGUCGUGAAAUCUCCGAGCCUAACUCGGAAACUGCGUCGGAUACUAUUUAACUCGAGGAAUGGAGGGGAGACUGGAAUUCUCGGUGUAGCAGUGAAAUGCGUAGAUAUCGAGAGGAACACCAGUGGCGAAGGCGAGUCUCUGGACAUUUCCUGACGCUGAGGAACGAAAGCCAGGGGAGCAAACGGG
rnacentral:rRNA from 1 species